rnacentral:rRNA from 1 species
AGAGUUUGAUCAUGGCUCAGGACGAACGCUGGCGGCGUGCCUAAAACAUGCAAGUCGAACGGGGUAGCAAUACCUAGUGGCGAACGGCGGAGUAAUACGUGAACAACGUGCCUUGAAGACUGGGAUANNCNGGGGAAACCCUGAGUAAUACCGGAUGUGGCAACGAGAUGGCAUCUUCUCGUUACUAAAUGGUUUUUCGCUUCACGAGCGGUUCACGGCCUAUCAGGUAGUUGGUGAGGUAACGGCUCACCAAGCCGACGACGGGUAGGGGGUCUGAGAGGAUGAUCCCCNCGAGUGGGACUGAGACACGGCCCACACACCUACGGGUGGCAGCAGUUGGGAAUCUUGCACAAUGGAGGAAACUCUGAUGCAGCGACGCCGCGUGGAGGACGAAGGGUCUAGGCUCGUAAACUCCUUUUUUUGGGAAAGACUUAGGACGGUACCCAAAGAAUAAGCACCGGCUAACUACGUGCCAGCAGCCGCGGUAAGACGUAGGGUGCAAGCGUUGUCCGGAUUUACUGGGCGUAAAGAGCGCGUAGGCGGCUCGUUAAGUGAGAAGUGAAAGCUCUGGGCUCAACCCAGAAACCGCUUUUCAUACUGGCAAGCUGGAGUGAUGCAGAGGUGGAUAGAAUUCCCGGUGUAGCGGUGAAAUGCGUUGAUAUCGGGAGGAAUACCCGUGGCGAAGGCGGUCCACUGGGCAUCAACUGACGCUGAGGCGCGAAAGCGUGGGUAGCAAACAGGAUUAGAUACCCUGGUAGUCCACGCCCUAAACGAUGGAUGCUAGGCGUAGGAGGUAUCGACCCCUCCUGUGCCGCAGCUAACGCACUAAGCAUCCCGCCUGGGGACUACGGCCGCAAGGUUGAAACUCA